UACGGAGGGUGCAAGCGUUGUUCGGAAUUACUGGGCGUAAAGGGCGCGUAGGCGGUGCAGUAAGUCAGAUGUGAAAGCCCUGGGCUCAACCCAGGAAUUGCAUUUGAUACUGCUGUACUUGAGUAUGGGAGAGGAGAGUGGAAUUCCCAGUGUAGAGGUGAAAUUCGUAGAUAUUGGGAGGAACACCCGUGGCGAAGGCGACUCUCUGGACCAAUACUGACGAUGAGGCGCGAAAGCGUGGGGAGCAAACAGG
rnacentral:rRNA from 1 species